GACGGACCACACGAACGUUAUUCGGAAUUACUGGGCUUAAAGGGUGCGUAGGCUGUGCAGAAAGUUGGGUGUGAAAUCCCUCGGCUUAACCGAGGAACUGCGCCCAAAACUACUGUGCUUGAGAAAGAUAGAGGUAAGCGGAACUUAGGGUGGAGCGGUGAAAUGCGUUGAUAUCCUAAGGAACACCGGUGGCGAAAGCGGCUUACUGGGUCUUUUCUGACGCUGAGGCACGAAAGCUAGGGUAGCGAACGGG
rnacentral:rRNA from 1 species